GACGAACGCUGGCGGCGUGCCUAAUACAUGCAAGUAGAACGCUGAAGGAGGAGCUUGCUUCUCUGGAUGAGUUGCGAACGGGUGAGUAACGCGUAGGUAACCUGCCUGGUAGCGGGGGAUAACUAUUGGAAACGAUAGCUAAUACCGCAUAAGAUUGACUAUUGCAUGAUAGUCAGUUAAAAGGUGCAAUUGCAUCACUACCAGAUGGACCUGCGUUGUAUUAGCUAGUUGGUGGGGUAACGGCUCACCAAGGCGACGAUACAUAGCCUACCUGAGUGGGUGAUCGGCCACACUGGGACUGAGACACUGCGCAGACUACCACGGGAGGCAGCAGGAGGGAAUCUUCGGCAAUGGACGGAAGUCUGACCGAGCAACGCCGCGGGGGUGAAGAAGGUUUUCGGAUCGUAAAGCUCUGUUGUAAGAGAAGAACGAGGGUGAGAGUGGAAAGUUCACACUGUGACGGUAUCUUACCAGAAAGGGACGGCUAACUACGUG
rnacentral:rRNA from 1 species